UGUGUAGGAUAGGUGGGAGGCUUUGAAGUGUGGACGCCAGUCUGCAUGGAGCCGACCUUGAAAUACCACCCUUUAAUGUUUGAUGUUCUAACGUUGGCCCGUAAUCCGGGUUGCGGACAGUGUCUGGUGGGUAGUUUGACUGGGGCGGUCUCCUCCUAAAGAGUAACGGAGGAGCACGAAGGUUGGCUAAUCCUGGUCGGACAUCAGGAGGUUAGUGCAAUGGCAUAAGCCAGCUUGACUGCGAGCGUGACGGCGCGAGCAGGUGCGAAAGCAGGUCAUAGUGAUCCGGUGGUUCUGAAUGGAAGGGCCAUCGCUCAACGGAUAAAAGGUACUCCGGGGAUAACAGGCUGAUACCGCCCAAGAGUUCAUAUCGACGGCGGUGUUUGGCACCUCGAUGUCGGCUCAUCACAUCCUGGGGCUGAAGUAGGUCCCAAGGGUAUGGCUGUUCGCCAUUUAAAGUGGUACGCGAGCUGGGUUUAGAACGUCGUGAGACAGUUCGGUCCCUAUCUGCCGUGGGCGCUGGAGAACUGAGGGGGGCUGCUCCUAGUACGAGAGGACCGGAGUGGACGCAUCACUGGUGUUCGGGUUGUCAUGCCAAUGGCACUGCCCGGUAGCUAAAUGCGGAAGAGAUAAGUGCUGAAAGCAUCUAAGCACGAAACUUGCCCCGAGAUGAGUUCUCCCUGAGACUUAGAGUCUCCUGAAGGAACGUUGAAGACGACGACGUUGAUAGGCCGGGUGUGUAAGCGCAGCGAUGCGUUGAGCUAACCGGUACUAAUGAACCGUGAGGCUUAACCUUACAACGCCGAAG
rnacentral:rRNA from 1 species